rnacentral:ncRNA from 1 species
UCUUAUCCAGAGAGGUGGAGGGACUGGCCCUGUGAAACCUCGGCAGCGGACUUAUAAAAGUACUGUGCCAAUUCCAGUAGCAAAUGCUUAAAGAUAAGA